rnacentral:rRNA from 1 species
CGAGAGGCCCAAACAUUAUUCGGAAUUACUGGGCUUAAAGAGUUCGUAGGCGGCAUGAAAAGUAGGGUGUGAAAGCCCUCGGCUCAACUGAGGAAUUGCGCUCUAAACUGUCGUGCUCGAGGAAGCUAGAGGUGAGCGGAACUGAUGGUGGAGCGGUGAAAUGCGUUGGCAUCAUCAGGAACACCGGAGGCGAAGGCGGCUCACUGGGGCUUUUCUGACGCUGAGGAACGAAAGCCAGGGUAGCGAACGGGAUUAGAUACCCCGGUAGUCCUGGCCGUAAACGAUGAGCACUAGGCCGGAGGGCUGCACAGCUUUUCGGCCGUAGCUAAAGUGUUAAGUGCUCCGCCUGGGGAGUAUGGUCGCAAGGCUG